rnacentral:rRNA from 1 species
GUCCACGCCGUAAACGAUGUCGACUUGGAGGUUGUUCCCUUGAGGAGUGGCUUCCGGAGCUAACGCGUUAAGUCGACCGCCUGGGGAGUACGGCCGCAAGGUUAAAACUCAAAUGAAUUGACGGGGGCCCGCACAAGCGGUGGAGCAUGUGGUUUAAUUCGAUGCAACGCGAAGAACCUUACCUACUCUUGACAUCCAGAGAACUUUCCAGAGAUGGAUUGGUGCCUUCGGGAACUCUGAGACAGGUGCUGCAUGGCUGUCGU